UCCCGGUUGAUCCUGCCGGAGGCUACUGCUAUUGGGAUUCGACUAAGCCAUGCGAGUCAAGGUGUCUUCGGACGCCGGCAUACGGCUCAGUAACACGUAGGUAACCUACCCUUAGGACUGGGAUAACUCCGGGAAACUGGGGCUAAUACCAGAUAGAUAAAAGAUACUGGAAUGUUCUUUUAUCCAAAGCUUUUGUGCCUAAGGAUGGGCCUGCGUCCGAUUAGGUUGUUGGUGGGGUAAUGGCCCACCAAGCCUGCGAUCGGUACGGGCAGUGGGAGCUGUAGCCCGGAGUUGGGGACUGAGACAAGGCCCCAGGCCCUACGGGGCGCAGCAGGCGCGAAACCUCUGCAAUGCGGGAAACCGUGACAGGGGGAUCCCAAGUGCUCAUGCAUUGCAUGGGCUGUUCUUUGGUCUAAGUAACCAGAGGAGUAAGGGCUGGGCAAGACCGGUGCCAGCCGCCGCGGUAAUACCGGCAGCUCGAGUGGUAGCCGCGAUUAUUGGGCCUAAAGCGUUCGUAGCCGGAUAAGUAAGUCUUUGGUUAAAUCCUGCGACUUAACCGUGGGAAAUCUAGAGAUACUGCUUGUCUUGAGACCGGGAGAGGUUGGAGGUACUCCUAGGGUAGGGGUGAAAUCCUGUAAUCCUAGGGGGACCACCUGUGGCGAAGGCGUCCAACUGGAACGGGUCUGACGGUGAGGGACGAAACCUAGGGGAGCGAGCCGGAUUAGAUACCCGGGUAGUCCUAGGCGUAAAUGAUGCGAGUUAAGUGUGGGGGCAUCUACGAGAUGGCCCUGUGCUGUAGGGUAGCCGUUAAACUCGCCGCCUGGGGAGUACGGUCGCAAGGCUGAAACUUAAAGGAAUUGGCGGGGGAGCACCACAAGAGGUGGAGGCUGCGGUUCAAUUGGAUUCAACGCCGGG
rnacentral:rRNA from 1 species